UUAAAGCAAUGCUUCAGUUGCUUCUGAUGUC
rnacentral:piRNA from 1 species